rnacentral:rRNA from 1 species
GACGAACGCUGGCGGCGUGCUUAACACAUGCAAGUCGAACGGAAAGGCCCUGCUUUUGUGGGGUGCUCGAGUGGCGAACGGGUGAGUAACACGUGAGUAACCUGCCCUUGACUUUGGGAUAACUUCAGGAAACUGGGGCUAAUACCGGAUAGGAGCUCCUGCUGCAUGGUGGGGGUUGGAAAGUUUCGGCGGUUGGGGAUGGACUCGCGGCUUAUCAGCUUGUUGGUGGGGUAGUGGCUUACCAAGGCUUUGACGGGUAGCCGGCCUGAGAGGGUGACCGGCCACAUUGGGACUAAGAUACGGCCCAGACUCCUAGGGGAGGCAGCAGUGGGGAAUAUUGCACAAUGGGCGGAAGCCUUAUGCAGCAACGCCGCGUGCGGGAUGACGGCCUUCGGGUUGUAAACCGCUUUCGCCUGUGACGAAGCGUGAGGGACGGUAAUGGGUAAAGAAGCACCGGCUAACUACGGG